AAAUUGAAGAGUUUGAUCAUGGCUCAGAUUGAACGCUGGCGGCAGGCCUAACACAUGCAAGUCGAGCGGUAGCACAGAGAGCUUGCUCUCGGGUGACGAGCGGCGGACGGGUGAGUAAUGUCUGGGAAACUGCCUGAUGGAGGGGGAUAACUACUGGAAACGGUAGCUAAUACCGCAUAAUGUCGCAAGACCAAAGUGGGGGACCUUCGGGCCUCAUGCCAUCAGAUGUGCCCAGAUGGGAUUAGCUAGUAGGUGGGGUAACGGCUCACCUAGGCGACGAUCCCUAGCUGGUCUGAGAGGAUGACCAGCCACACUGGAACUGAGACACGGUCCAGACUCCUACGGGAGGCAGCAGUGGGGAAUAUUGCACAAUGGGCGCAAGCCUGAUGCAGCCAUGCCGCGUGUGUGAAGAAGGCCUUCGGGUUGUAAAGCACUUUCAGCGGGGAGGAAGGCGUUAAGGUUAAUAACCUUGUCGAUUGACGUUACCCGCAGAAGAAGCACCGGCUAACUCCGUGCCAGCAGCCGCGGUAAUACGGAGGGUGCAAGCGUUAAUCGGAAUUACUGGGCGUAAAGCGCACGCAGGCGGUCUGUCAAGUCGGAUGUGAAAUCCCCGGGCUUAACCUGGGAACUGCAUUCGAAACUGGCAGGCUAGAGUCUUGUAGAGGGGGGUAGAAUUCCAGGUGUAGCGGUGAAAUGCGUAGAGAUCUGGAGGAAUACCGGUGGCGAAGGCGGCCCCCUGGACAAAGACUGACGCUCAGGUGCGAAAGCGUGGGGAGCAAACAGGAUUAGAUACCCUGGUAGUCCACGCCGUAAACGAUGUCGAUUUGGAGGUUGUGCCCUUGAGGCGUGGCUUCCGGAGCUAACGCGUUAAAUCGACCGCCUGGGGAGUACGGCCGCAAGGUUAAAACUCAAAUGAAUUGACGGGGGCCCGCACAAGCGGUGGAGCAUGUGGUUUAAUUCGAUGCAACGCGAAGAACCUUACCUGGUCUUGACAUCCACAGAACUUUCCAGAGAUGGAUUGGUGCCUUCGGGAACUGUGAGACAGGUGCUGCAUGGCUGUCGUCAGCUCGUGUUGUGAAAUGUUGGGUUAAGUCCCGCAACGAGCGCAACCCUUAUCCUUUGUUGCCAGCGGUCCGGCCGGGAACUCAAAGGAGACUGCCAGUGAUAAACUGGAGGAAGGUGGGGAUGACGUCAAGUCAUCAUGGCCCUUACGACCAGGGCUACACACGUGCUACAAUGGCAUAUACAAAGAGAAGCGACCUCGCGAGAGCAAGCGGACCUCAUAAAGUAUGUCGUAGUCCGGAUUGGAGUCUGCAACUCGACUCCAUGAAGUCGGAAUCGCUAGUAAUCGUAGAUCAGAAUGCUACGGUGAAUACGUUCCCGGGCCUUGUACACACCGCCCGUCACACCAUGGGAGUGGGUUGCAAAAGAAGUAGGUAGCUUAACCUUCGGGAGGGCGCUUACCACUUUGUGAUUCAUGACUGGGGUGAAGUCGUAACAAGGUAACCGUAGGGGAACCUGCGGUUGGAUCACCUCCUUACCUUAAAGAA
rnacentral:rRNA from 1 species